rnacentral:tRNA from 1 species
GGGGAAUUAGCUCAGUGGUAGAGCGCUUGCCUAGGAAGCUCAAGGCCCUGGGUUCGGUCCCCAGCUCCG